GAGAAAAACAAUUCAAUCAACUCAUUUAUAUAACUAGAAAUCAAAUCAGAAAAAUAAGGGUUUCAUCUGGUUACACUCAUCCCUAACAAAUAGGGUUUAGUUACUCAUGACAGAGAUACAAAAGAUAAGGAUUAAAGAAGAAUUACAAGAAUGAUUCAUGGAUGAUUCUUGAUAAAACUGCUUCAAUGGCGUUAGAAACGGCCGUCUUUGAGUUUUUAUGCUAGGGCACAAGUCUCCCAAGUUCCCAAGAGUCAAAAAGAUCCCUAAAACAGUAAAAAUCUGCGUCUUUAUGGUUGCUGGUGCGCGUCGCGCGCCUCAGGCGCGGAAAAACGCGCUCCAGGACGCGCUCCAGGCGCAUUUCAUCUGCUGUCUGAUGUAUUUUGCAUUUUUCUCAUCUUGUGCCUCUGAAUUUGGUCCCGGUGUCUUAAUGAAAGUUGUAGAUAUGGAUCUUAGCUUUCAUUAGCACUUGGAGCGACACUAAUUGGACAUCUAGAACUCCAGAUAUGGCUGAAAUACUCCACAUAUGUCAUGUUGAUUUUUCACCAAAAUUCAGCACUGCACUAAAACAAAACGCAAUGUAAAAUUACGACAAAUUCCUACUUAAUCAACGAAAUAAAAACAAUAAACAUUUUAUUAACUCAAAGAACAAAAAUCAACAAAAUGUAUCAAAUAAAUCCUUAAUUUAACUGAUGAUUGAGGAUAAAUAAGACUAAAACAGUGGGAAAAUAUGCAUAUGAUGAAGAGUCAUCAACACCUCAGUUGGGACUUUGGUAAGGGGUUGUCCAAAGCGAUAAACAACAGCUACGAGAUAUUUUUCAUUGGAUUGUCUAUUCCGGAUAGGAAUUUUUUAGGGGACAUCGUUAGAUUAUGGAGUGAGGGUUUAAGAAGGCGUUCUUCAUAAAAGUCCUUGACGGGUUUUUAGGUCCCUAUCUUGCAAGAAUGAAGUGUGAUCUUUAUCUUGAAGAUAGGCUUCUUUUUUUCUUUCUAGAAUUUGGAGGGAGUUUCAAGAUUAUGUGUACAAGAGUGUUUAAGAACGAAGGAAUUUUGUGUACAAUUUUUUGUAACUUCCUUCGAAGGAAUCUAUAAGCAUUUAUAAUCAUAAUAAAGGAAAAAAAUCUAAUUCUUUUGAAUGAGAACAAGAUGUACUCUACGAGUGAGAACGAAGUAGAGGUACCUAUAUAAAUCGUCGCUUUAGUCUCUCUAUCUCUAACUCUUUAAUUUCUUCAUUUUUACUUUGUUCUUGAUUUUUUCCUUUGUUUUGGAUUUUGGUGGUAUAUUAUGUUUUAGUGCAAAUUGAUAGAAAACUUGUUAAAAUAUUUUUUUGUUUUGAAAGUAUUGGUUUCAAAUGUUGAAUAAAUUAUGUUUUGAACAUUGCAAUUCAAUAUCUUAGACUUGAUUUAAUUUGAAGAAAAUAUAAUAUAUUAGUGUUCCUAUUGAUUAAGAUUUAUGGAGUCAUUUAUGAUCUUUGUCAUCCUUGAUUGAAGGGCUAAAAUCAUUUUUCUAAACUACUUCAAUCAAUUUUUUUGUUUUCUUGUAUAAGUUUCUAUUGAAUUUUGUGUUUACUUCGUAUUCUUUAUGCAUAUUCAAUUAAUCCAUCGCAUUAAAUCAAUUUGAAUAUUCUUUGUGCAUAUUCUUGUAUAGCAUAAUCAAUUCAAUUUGAAUAUUCUUUGUGCAUAUUCAAUUAGUCCAUCGCAUUAAAAGAUUUUUAAUUUCUAUUGUACAACUUUAAAGUUUUCAACACUAUUUUUUGAAAAUCCCUUCUAGAUUCCAUUGUAGGUUAUUUAAUAAGUCCCAAAUUCUAGAGAACUUUAGAAGUUCAGGAGUAGUAUAAUAUUAUUCAAUGUUAGUAGUUGUGAGAAAUCUGUAGAAUAGUCUAAUAAAUUGUAUAGAACUCUCCCUUAGAGUCUAUAAAUAGGGGAGAAGUUGUCAUAUGGACAUCAAGUCAAACAAUAAAAUGUAUUCUUCUCUCAAAUAUUAUAUCUUCUUCAAAGUUCACCCUAACAUUUUCCUUACCAAGACACAUGUAAAGAUAAUUAAGUUAAUCAUACCAUUUUCCUUUACCAACGCACAUGCAAUCAGUAUUACAUAAUGCUAUGAUAGAGGAAUAAAGAAUAAAGAAAAAACAUGGUCCUUUAUCAUUAUAAUUAGGGAGGUGUACAAAAUAUUCUAUUACAAGUCCAAACCACAAAUACAUCCAUAACUGAUUUAAAAAAAAUAGGAUAUUUGCAAUAGUUUUUUAUAAGAUAUUUGUAGACAAUGGUGGUUGCUUUUUAUUUUUAUUUAUUUUUUAUAUCUGGUUUUUGAAAAUGGAUGUCCGUCAAUAUCCACAACCAUUUUGUGAAACAAUCCUUCUUAAUCUCUUACUUUUAAACUGAGAGAUUAUGGAACAUUUUGCAAAAUCAUAAAUUUCUCUACUCUAGAGAUUCGUACCUCAAACCUUCUAAUUUUUUCGUUCUCAGAUUUUCGCAUACAGAUCUCAUCUCCUUUUCAAUCUUAGAUCUCCAGCCACAGCACAUAGUUCAUCGGCGGAGGAUACAGAACUAGCAAGAAUUUUUUUUCUCAAGAAGACGAAACCCAUAAAAAUUGAAAGGAGGAACCUGCUAGGUUUAUUUUGGUAUUUGUGUGUUUUUUCGGAAAAUCGAGUCAGCUCCUCAUUGCUUAUUGUAGCACUCAUAUGACCGAUCAGCAAAAUUCAUAGAAAGAAUGUGGGUACUUUCACAAUUUAGUGACAGUAAAUUUAAUAAUAA
rnacentral:lncRNA from 1 species